CCUACGGGAGGCAGCAGUGGGGAAUAUUGCACAAUGGGGGAAACCCUGAUGCAGCAACGCCGCGUGAAGGAAGACGGUUUUAGGAUUGUAAACUUCUGUUCUUAGUGAAGAAUAAUGACGGUAGCUAAGGAGCAAGCCACGGCUAACUACGUGCCAGCAGCCGCGGUAAUACGUAGGUGGCAAGCGUUGUCCGGAAUUACUGGGUUUAAGGGGAGCGCAGGCGGGUAGCCAAGUCAGCGGUGAAAACUACGGGCUUAACUUGGAGACUGCAGUUGAAACUGGUUGUCUUGAGUGAAGUAGAGGUUGGCGGAAUGCGGAGUGUAGCGGUGAAAUGCGUAGAUAUU
rnacentral:rRNA from 1 species